GUCUACAGCCAUGCCACCCUGAAUGUGCCUGAUCUCGUCUGAUCUCGGAAGCUAAGCAGGAUCAGGCCUGGUUAGUACUUGGAU
rnacentral:rRNA from 1 species